rnacentral:rRNA from 1 species
UACGUAGGGUGCUAGCGUUGUUCGGAAUCAUUGGGCGUAAAGCGAGUGUAGGUGGUUAAGUAAGUCGUGUGUGAAAUCCCUGGGCUCAACCGAGGAAGUGCAUGCGAAACUACUUAGCUAGAGAGUGGUAGAGGAAGGUGGAAUUCCUAGUGUAGAGGUGAAAUUCGUAGAUAUUAGGAGGAAUACCGGUGGCGAAGGCGGCCUUCUGGACCAUUUCUGACACUGAGACUCGAAAGCGUGGGGAGCAAACAG